UACGUAGGGGGCAAGCGUUGUCCGGAAUCAUUGGGCGUAAAGCGCGUGUAGGCGGCCAGAAAAGUCCGCUGUGAAAACUCGAGGCUCAACUUCGAGCUGUCGGUGGAAACUUUCUGGCUAGAGUCCGGAAGAGGAGAAUGGAAUUCCUGGUGUAGCGGUGAAAUGCGCAGAUAUCAGGAAGAACACCCGUGGCGAAGGCGGUUCUCUGGGACGGUACUGACGCUGAGGAGCGAAAGCAUGGGGAGCGAACAGG
rnacentral:rRNA from 1 species